rnacentral:rRNA from 1 species
AGUCGAACGAAGUAGCAAUACUUAGUGGCAGACGGGUGAGUAACAUGUAGGUAUCUUCCCAUUGGUGAGGAAUAACACGAGGAAACUUGUGCUAAUACCUCAUAAGUCUUUACGGAGAAAGCUUUAUGCGCCGAUGGAUGAGCCUGCACUUGAUUAGUUUGUUGGUAGGGUAAUGGCCUACCAAGACAAUGAUCAAUAGCUGAUUUGAGAGGAUGAUCAGCCACAUUGGGACUGAGACACGGCCCAAACUCCUACGGGAGGCAGCAGUAGGGAAUCUUGCACAAUGGGGGAAACCCUGAUGCAGCGAUGCCGCGUGAGUGAAGAAGGCCUUUGGGUUGUAAAGCUCUUUCGUCGGGGAAGAAAAUGACUGCACCCGAAUAAGAAGGUCCGGCUAACUUCGUGCCAGCAGCCGCGGUAAUACGAAGGGACCUAGCGUAGUUCGGAAUUACUGGGCUUAAAGAGUUCGUAGGUGGUUAAAAAAGUUGGUGGUGAAAUCCCAGAGCUUAACUCUGGAACUACCAUCAAAACUUUUUAGCUAGAGUAUGAUAGAGGAAAGCAGAAUUUCUAGUGUAGAGGUGAAAUUCGUAGAUAUUAGAAAGAAUACCAAUUGC